UACGUAGGGUGCAAGCGUUAAUCGGAAUUACUGGGCGUAAAGCGUGCGCAGGCGGUUUUGUAAGUCUGAUGUGAAAUCCCCGGGCUCAACCUGGGAAUUGCAUUGGAGACUGCAAGGCUAGAAUCUGGCAGAGGGGGGUAGAAUUCCACGUGUAGCAGUGAAAUGCGUAGAGAUGUGGAGGAAAACCGAUGGCGAAGGCAGCCCCCUGGGUCAAGAUUGACGCUCAUGCACGAAAGCGUGGGGA
rnacentral:rRNA from 1 species